rnacentral:lncRNA from 1 species
GAGCAGUGUCUUUGGAAUGAAUUUGUCAAAUGGGUGAUGUGCAUUUAGACAUCCAUCCCCUACACGGGGCCCUGCCUCUCACCUGAGUUUUUGCAUGUUGUUCUGGUGUGCCAGAGCCUGCACCCUCUAGGACUCACCCCGGGUGCCACUCCUAGGAGCUCCCACCACACCAACAGCCCACGAGAGAUGAAUCUGCCUUGUUGCCUGCUGGACGGAAAGGCCCAUCUGGGCUACUGUGUUCAUGAAUGUAAAAUGGCUGAUAAACUGUUCAUAUAAGUAAUACAUUUUCCUUUUAAAAUGUCUUUUUCACUGUCUUAGUCCAUUUUCUGCUGCUAAUAACAGAAUACUUGAAACUGGGUAAUUGAUAAAGGAAAGCAAUGUAUGGAGGCUGAGAAGUCCAUAUCUGGUAAGAGCCUGCUUGCUGGUGAGGACUCUCUGAAGAGUGGCAGGGUAUCACAUGGUGAGGGGGCUGAGUGUGCUAACAUGCUAACUCAAGCCUUUCUUCCUCUCCUGAUAAAACCACCACUACCCCUCCCAU